CGAACGCUGGCGGCGCGCCUAAUACAUGCAAGUCGAGCGAGAAGACGUAGCAAUACGUUUGUAAAGCGGCGAACGGGUGAGGAACACAUGGGUAACCUACCCUAGAGUGGGGAAUAACUAGCCGAAAGGUUAGCUAAUACCGCGUACGCUCCUUGGACUUCGGUACAGGGAGGAAAGCGAUACCGUGGGUAUCGCGCUCUUGGAUGGGCUCAUGUCCUAUCAGCUUGUUGGUGAGGUAACGGCUCACCAAGGCUUCGACGGGUAGCUGGUCUGAGAGGACGAUCAGCCACACUGGCACUGCGACACGGGCCAGACUCCUACGGGAGGCAGCAGUAAGGAAUAUUGCGCAAUGGGCGAAAGCCUGACGCAGCGACGCCGCGUGGGGGAGUGAA
rnacentral:rRNA from 1 species